GUCGAGCCGGUGCUGCCGCGGCCACCGCCACCGCCCAGGGGCUCCGGGGCUGUGGGGAGCGGCUGAACUCAAUACCGCCUCCGCGCUGACUGGAAGGCACUGCGGCCGCGCCUGCCUGCCCCACCUCGUAAGGGCCUGUGACCUCACGAGGCCAGCCGCCGGGCGCUGCAUUCGAGCGGUGGGGCUCCUGUCCGUGCGCUUUCCUCCCGCAGCCCCGGCCGGGAUUCCGCCCUCCGUCCUUGCCACCCGCUCGCCACUCUUCCCUAAUCGCUGUUCAUUCUCCGGUGCGCUGUCCCGCCAUGGUCUGACCCCACUUCAAUCUUACCUUCGAACUUCAGAUUGAAAAGCAUGUACUUGAGUAGCUGUAUUUAAGGAAUUACACCCAAGAAGUCUCAUCUUCCCUGGACUUACGUAGAGGAUAAGAUUCUGAACUUUGAAUUGAUGCUAUAAUGGGAUAAGACUUUGGGGCCUUAGAAGGGGAGAACAAAGGCCAUGAAGGUGUUAAAGGGAAGCAAGCGAUCGACAGCAUUGGUUGGUGACAAACCUGUGGCUGGUCUGUGUAUGAUGGGAUGGAUUCCUCCUGCUCCCAGAAGGCACUGUACUUUCAGUGUUCAGGGCAGCCUUGCCUUAGUGCCUCAAACCUAUCCCUACAUCCUGCAGUAAACUUGGAAAGGUAACACCUCUAACCAUCAGGCCUUCCUCUGAAGCACAGUCAAGUUGCUCUUGGCAACCAUCUCAAUUUUAAUAGUGCAGAUGCCAUGUGCUGUAAAGUCCUAAAAUUUAAAUUC
rnacentral:lncRNA from 10 species